UGGAUCAGGAUGUGAGCUCUCAGAAGAUUCUGCUUAAGUGCACUGCCUGCCUGCUGCCAGGUUCCCCACAAAUGAUGGUGAUAGAUUCCUACCCUCUGGAAAUGUCAUAUGAAAGAGCAAGCUCAUGAGCCAUGGAUAGCAAGCAAGUAAGCAGUAUUCCUCCAUGGUCUUUGCUUCAGUUCCUGCCUCUAGUUUCCCACCUUGAGUUCCUGCCUUGGCUUUGUCGGAGUGUAACUUGUUAAGCUCAAAUAAACCGUUUCCUCCCCUGAA